CUGGCGGCGUGCCUAACACAUGCAAGUCGCACGAGAAAGUGGAGCAAUCCAUGAGUAAAGUGGCGUACGGGUGAGUAACACGUGACUAACCUACCUUCGAGUGGGGAAUAACCUCGGGAAACCGGGGCUAAUACCGCAUAACAUCUUCUGGCUGAGAUGCCGGUUGAUCAAAGUAGCAAUGCGCUUGAAGAGGGGGUCGCGGCUGAUUAGCUAGUUGGUGGGGUAACGGCCCACCAAGGCGAUGAUCAGUAGCCGGCCUGAGAGGGCGCACGGCCACACUGGAACUGAAACACGGUCCAGACUCCUACGGGAGGCAGCAGUGGGGAAUUUUGCGCAAUGGGGGAAACCCUGACGCAGCAACGCCGCGUGGAGGAUGAAGUCCCUUGGGACGUAAACUCCUUUCGAUCGGGACGAUUAUGACGGUACCGGAAGAAGAAGCCCCGGCUAACUUCGUGCCAGCAGCCGCGGUAAUACGAGGGGGGCAAGCGUUGUUCGGAAUUAUUG
rnacentral:rRNA from 1 species